rnacentral:rRNA from 1 species
CCUACGGGAGGCAGCAGUGGGGAAUAUUGGACAAUGGGGGCAACCCUGAUCCAGCCAUGCCGCGUGUGUGAAGAAGGCCCUCGGGUUGUAAAGCACUUUCAGUGAGGAAGAACGCCUGGUGGUUAAUACCCAUCAGGAAAGACAUCACUCACAGAAGAAGCACCGGCUAACUCCGUGCCAGUAGCCGCGGUAAUACGGAGGGUGCGAGCGUUAAUCGGAAUUACUGGGCGUAAAGCGCGCGUAGGUGGCUUGAUAAGCCGGUUGUGAAAGCCCCGGGCUCAACCUGGGAACGGCAUCCGGAACUGUCAAGCUAGAGUGCAGGAGAGGAAGGUAGAAUUCCCGGUGUAGCGGUGAAAUGCGUAGAGAUCGGGAGGAAUACCAGUGGCGAAGGCGGCCUUCUGGACUGACACUGACACUGAGGUGCGAAAGCGUGGGUAGCAAACAGGAUUAGAUACCCGUGUAGUC